GUGAAAGGCAGCGGGCACAGCCUGCCCCAUUCACAGCAGUGGGCAGAGUGCUGAAGUGCUUACCAGGUCAUAGGCUGCCAGGACCUUCUUCUGCACAUCGGGCACAGUCCCCAGAGGCUCCAGUUCCUUUAGCUGGAUGUAUAAGCAACGAAUGCUCCUGAACACAUAUGCUUUUCCCCUUUAUUCACCUUGGAGCAACAUCUCUAUUCAGCUGCAGGCCUUGCUAACUCUUGGAAAGAAGUGAGGGUGGUUUCAUCUGGGAUCAUUCGUAACUAAGAGAAAAAUAAUCAACUCUUUGUGUGUAGUAAAGUGGCAAACAUGUUUUCUAACUAUGUACUUUGGGAAAUAAUACAUUUCUAACUCCUUUUCCAAAGACAAUUAAAAAUUACACAUUACCUGUCAUUGAGUUCCUCAGCUACUAGGUAAAUUGAGGCACAUCAGAUACUCUAAUUGCUAAAUUACUCUGUUGAUCAAAGCACACUCUUGUAGCUCAGCAAACUGAAAUCGCAUUACUGCCCUCAUGAAAAAUGAAUGCUCCACCCUGCAACCAUUUGCUGGUAUUUUAAAAUUCACUCACUGAUUUCAGAGCUCCAAGUGGAAUGUGGUAAUUCAACAAGCACUGCACUGUGCACCACCACACCAAGGCAGAGAUUUUGGUUGUGAAGCUGGCAUAACCCAACCUCAAUCUGUGGUUCCUUCCUAAACUCUCACAGAAAACUGUUCUCUCCUAUCAACAAGAAUGUGCCCCAGAAUAAACUCACACUGGGAAAGUGUAGGAAACUAUGAAAACUACAUGAUCCAGAAAUCACCCAAAAUACUAAAUGACAAAGGACAAAUUUUGAUGGGGUUUGAAUACAUCCUUUGAUUUCAGGGUCAACAUGGUUAUCAGAAGCAGAAGUGAUGUGACUAAACCUGUGAAGAACUGAAGGGUAGAACAAUUUUAGAGUAUUAACUGAGCUGGGCUGUUACCUUCCACAGUUCAGAGUUUACUUUUGGUGAUACAUUUAUUCUGGAUACCUUUAUGCUAAGCUUGGAGCUUCCUCUUUCUCUGCUGCCUGAAAACACAGGGCUUGAAAUCAAAUUCUGAAAUCCAAUUAGCAAAUACACAAGACUGUGUAUGAAGCAGGUUUUCCUUGCAUCCUGUUCCUGAAAAACUCAAGUACAGAUGUCCCAUAUAUUGUACACAGAGUCAGAGGUACUUACGUGUGAACCACUGAAGCUACAGAUCUGACUCCAGAGUAACAGCCACGUAAGCACAAGUUCCAUUACUUUGUUUUGCAUUAAGCACAGAUCUGCUGUGAUGAUACAUCCCUGGCUCUUGCUGAGUCAAUGAAGCGUUUAAACACAGAUCUACUGCAUUCAGUGAAACUUUAGAGACAUUUUAGUGCUUUGCUGAUCUCUGAAGCACUCACAAUCAUGCAGGAAACAGAAGGCAGGCAUGCUGUGAAUGUUGCUGACAUGUUGUAAUACCAAGCCACAAAGCCACCCCUCUGUUUUCAGAGACUGCUCGAGCUCUGCAUCAAACCUACAUGUUUUGUGAAUCAUAUCUUCAUGAUAGGAAUGGAGCAGCAUGCAGCAGAAAUAAGUCGAACAGUUGUCUUGGUAAAAUAAAAUGUUUCUUUGCAAGUGCAGAAGACACCACACAUCAUUACCAAGUGUUUUUCAACAUGAUUGCUUGGAAUAUCCUCAGAAAAGAGACAGACUACAUACCUGAAAAACAACCCUUUGCAUUUCUGACCAUAAAUAUAAUCUGAGGACAGGCAGGAG